UGGAAUGUGUGUGAGUAGAUAUUUAUGUAUACAUGCAUACGUGUGCAUUUGUUUGUGCACUUGUGUGUCAGAGCUUAAAUGAACAAGAUGCUAAAUCAGUAAUUAAUUCAAAAAGUUGUUUAUGAUUGUAACUUAAAAAAUGACGUUUUACUUUUUUAAAGAUUCGGUGUAGAAGUAUGAGUGAACGGAUAUGAAAAUGUUGUGCUUUGCCAUGUUUGUGCUGUUUUUCUCUUAGAGGUCACUAGAUUAGUGCAGGUUUGUUUUCUUUUCAGAAUAACUUGACAUUUACAGGUACCAUUAGUGGAGAUGUGUGUGUGUGGAAGGAACACGUUCUAGUGAGAAUCGUGGCUAAGGCUCACACUGGACCUGUGUUCACCAUGUACACCACAUUACGUGACGGGCUCAUUGUGACGGGGGGCAAAGAACGACCGUCUAAGGAGGGUGGUGCGCUCAAACUGUGGGAUCAGGAGUUGAAGCGAUGCAGAGCCUUCAGAUUGGAGACGGGCCAGAUCAUAGACUGUGUGCGCUCUGUCUGCAGGGGCAAGAUGCAGUCAACAGAAACUCGGUAAAGGUGUGAACCAAAUGGUCCAUACAAUUAGUCUCACAGACAGAACUUCGGGAGAAGCUACGAUUCUUACAAGAUUCUUGAAGGAUGACAUCGCUGCUGAAGAACUGCUACACUACACCUUCAGUAAAUUCUUCUCCCCACAAGAACUUUGGCCAAGCUUACUUAAUUUAUAGCCAAAUACAGCAAAAUCUAACAGACCUCUGGGAGUACAUUCUGGUCAGGAGUCACAAGAAGUUAGACAUAUGCUGUUUUUCUGACAUCAAUGAAUAUUCCUCAGUAGAAAUACAAAUUCUGUGAUAAUAGUGCCAGCC